rnacentral:rRNA from 1 species
GCCUGAUCUAGCCAUGCCGCGUGAGUGAUGAAGGCCUUAGGGUCGUAAAGCUCUUUCGCCAGGGAWGAUAAUGACWGUACCUGGUAAAGAAGCCCCGGCUAACUCCGUGCCAGCAGCCGCGGUAAUACGGAGGGGGUUAGCGUUGUUCGGAAUUACUGGGCGUAAAGCGYRCGUAGGCGGAUUAGCAAGUYAGGGGUGAAAUCCCGGGGCUCAACCCCGGAACUGCCUUURAAACUGYUGGUCUAGAGUUCGAGAGAGGUGAGUGGAAUUCCGAGUGUAGAGGUGAAAUUCGUAGAUAUUCGGAGGAACACCAGUGGCGAAGGCGGCUCACUGGCUCGAUACUGACGCUGAGGUGCGAAAGYGUGGGGAGCAAACAGGAUUAGAUACCCUGGUAGUCCACACCGUAAACGAUGAAUGCCAGUCGUCGGGCAGUAUACUGUUCGGUGACACACCUAACGSAUUAAGCAUUCCG